CCGAGUUGAUUCGGGCUCCGGCCCGAUCCUCCCACCCUUUGUGUACCUACCUCUGUUGCUUUGGCGGGCCGCGGUCCCCCGCGGCCGCCCCCCUUCCCCGGGGGGUGGCUAGUGCCCGCCAGAGGACCAUCAAACUCCAGUCAGUGAACGUCGCAGUCUGAAAAAACAUUCAAUAAACUA
rnacentral:misc_RNA from 1 species